rnacentral:rRNA from 1 species
ACGGGAGGCAGCAGUGGGGAAUAUUGCACAGUGGGCGAAAGCCUGAUGCAGCGACGCCGCGUGAGCGAAGAAGUAUUUCGGUAUGUAAAGCUCUAUCAGCAGGGAAGAUAAUGACGGUACCUGACUAAGAAGCACCGGCUAAAUACGUGCCAGCAGCCGCGGUAAUACGGAUGGUGCAAGCGUUAUCCGGAUUUACUGGGUGUAAAGGGAGCGCAGGCGGUACGGCAAGUCUGAUGUGAAAGCCCGGGGCUCAUCCCCGGUACUGCAUUGGAAACUGUCGAACUAGAGUGUCGGAGGGGUAAGUGGAAUUCCUAGUGUAGCGGUGAAAUGCGUAGAUAUUAGGAGGAACACCAGUGGCGAAGGCGGCUUACUGGACGACAACUGACGCUGGGGCUCGAAAGCGUGGGGAGCAAACAGGAUUAGAUACCCUGGUA